rnacentral:lncRNA from 1 species
CCACAGUUCAACUGGUCCCCAGAGUAUGCACCUGGUAUCCCUUGGGUGUUGCACAGGACAGCAGCAGUGAAGUAAGGCCAGCACCCAAGCCUGGAGCCACACAGCUCCCAUCAAGGUGGCAACAUGCCUUGGUAGGACUGAGCUACAGCCCACACCUGGGCAGGUAAAACUCUUUAGAGUCCUUUAGUCUUAAAACGUGAAUGUUGUUUCUUGAAGCAGGCAUUGCUUCUAGAUCCUCAAGUAUGAAGUUCUUAGUGGUAAGGGGAAUUCUUCUCCUUGUGUGUGUGAAAUCUGUGGAGCAACUACUUCCAAGUACUGAAGCUGUCGGCUAAGUGACCAGCUCGGGGGCUGAGCUCUUGGGGGUACACUCCUCUUGGGGUCAGUUGCAGAGGAGUUUUGCUUUGUUUGCAGCAAUCGUUACCUGUGAAGAUGUGCCUGGAUUGUCAGCACAGCCCUGCUUGAAAUGCCAUGUUUCUUCCCCGUGUUUCCUUUAAAGCCAAGGACAGCAAGGCAAGAUAGGGUUUCACGAGGGUAUAGGGUUUCUGAAUCUGAGUCUUUCCUGAGACAAACUCUUUCUAAUCCUUACCUGUGUGUCAGAGCUGCACAGACAUCGACCACAUCCGUAACCACCCAUAGGAUCUUCUAUUGCUGGAGGAAGAACUGUAAUUUAGGCUGCCUGAACUUGGCUGCAGAUCCUCAUAGCGUGGGAAAGACGCAAGCUGCUGGUAUCAGACCUGGGGAUUUAU